rnacentral:rRNA from 1 species
CUACGGGCCGCUCCAGUGAGGAAUAUUGCACAAUGGGGGGAACCCUGAUGCAGCAACGCCGCGUGGAGGAUGACGCAUUUCGGUGUGUAAACUCCUUUUAUAUGUCAAGAAAAUGACGGUAGCAUAUGAAUAAGCACCGGCUAACUCCGUGCCAGCAGCCGCGGUAAUACGGAGGGUGCAAGCGUUACUCGGAAUCACUGGACGUAAAGGACGCGUAGGCGGGUUGGAAAGUCAGGUGUGAAAUCCUACAGCUUAACUGUAGAACUGCACUUGAAACUUCUAAUCUAGAGUAUGGGAGGGGGAGAUGGAAUUAGUGGUGUAGGGGUAAAAUCCGUAGAUAUCACUAGGAAUACCUAAAGCGAAGGCGAUCUCCUGGAACAUUACUGACGCUAAGGCGUGAAAGCGUGGGGAGCAAACAGGAUUAGAUACCCGCUAGUC